rnacentral:rRNA from 1 species
GACGACGCUGGCGGCGUGCCUAACACAUGCAAGUCGAGCGGGGUUGAGGCGAGAGGUAACUCGAGCUUCUACCUAGCGGCGGACGGGUGAGUAACGCGUGGGCAACCUGCCUCAAGGUUUGGGAUAACAGCCCGAAAGGGCUGCUAAUACCGGAUAUGCCUAUGGCCUCGCAUGGGGCUAUGAGCAAAGGGGAAACCCGCCUUGAGAUGGGCCCGCGUCCCAUCAGCUAGUUGGUGAGGUAACAGCUCACCAAGGCGACGACGGGUAGCCGGCCUGAGAGGGUGACCGGCCACACUGGGACUGAGACACGGCCCAGACUCCUACGGGGGGCAGCAGUGGGGGAUCUUGCACAAUGGGCGAAAGCCUGAUGCAGCGACGCCGCGUGAGCGAAGAAGGCCUUCGGGUUGUAAAGCUCUGUCUGGAGGGACGAACAAAAUGACGGUAUCUCCGGAGGAAGCCACGGCUAACUACGUG